AACGAACGCUGGCGGCAUGCCUAACACAUGCAAGUCGAACGAGACCUUCGGGUCUAGUGGCGCACGGGUGCGUAACGCGUGGGAACCUGCCCUUAGGUUCGGAAUAACUCCCCGAAAGGGGUGCUAAUACCGGAUAAUGUCUUCGGACCAAAGAUUUGUCGCCUUUGGAUGGGCCCGCGUUGGAUUAGCUAGUUGGUAGGUAAAAGCCUACCAAGGCGACGAUCCAUAGCUGGUCUGAGAGGAUGACCAGCCACACUGGGACUGAGACACGGCCCAGACUCCUACGGGAGGCAGCAGUGGGGAAUAUUGGACAAUGGGCGAAAGCCUGAUCCAGCAAUGCCGCGUGAGUGAUGAAGGCCUUAGGGUUGUAAAGCUCUUUUACCCGGGAUGAUAAUGACAGUACCGGGAGAAUAAGCUCCGGCUAACUCCGUG
rnacentral:rRNA from 1 species